rnacentral:rRNA from 1 species
AUACGGAGGGUCCAAGCGUUAUCCGGAAUCAUUGGGUUUAAAGGGUGCGCAGGCGGCUUAUUAAGUCAGUGGUGAAAUCUCGGGGCUCAACCUCGAAACUGCCAUUGAUACUGAUAAACUUGAGUUCAGUUGGAGUAGGCGGAAUGUGUAGUGUAGCGGUGAAAUGCUUAGAUAUUACACAGAACACCGAUAGCGAAGGCAGCUUACUAAACUGAUACUGACGCUGAGGCACGAAAGCGUGGGGAGCGAACAGGAUUAGAAACCCCAGUAGUCC